UAUCUCUGUAGAGUCUGCAUAUCAAUAAGCGGAGGAAAAGAAACUAACUAGGAUUCCCUUAGUAACGGCGAGUGAAGCGGGAAGAGCUCAAAUUUGAAAUCUUCAAGGUUUUACCUUGACGAAUUGUAGUUUAAAGAAGUGUUUUCUGUUGGUGUUUUGGUAAAAGUUCUUUGGAAUAGGACAUCAUAGAGGGUGAGAAUCCCGUAUUUGACCAUUACUUCCAGCGUUGUGAUACACUUUCAAAGAGUCGGAUUGUUUGGGAAUGCAGUCCAAAAUGGGUGGUAAAUUUCAUCUAAAGCUAAAUAUUGGCGAGAGACCGAUAGCGAACAAGUACCGUGAGGGAAAGAUGAAAAGAACUUUGAAAAGAGAGUUAAACAGUACGUGAAAUUGUCAAAAGGGAAGCGUUUGACACCAGUGUUGUUUUCUCGAAAAUCAAUUAAAAAAAGUUGGAUUUUGUAUUGUUAAGACCUUAUCAGCUUACUGUACUCUUUUCUUGCUUUUUUUAAUGCACUUUUCGUUUAACAAGUCAACAUCAAUUUCUUUUGUUGUAAAAGAGUCAUUGGAAGGUGGCUUUCACUUUGGUGAAAGUGUUUAUAGCCUUUGGCUUCUGCAAUCGGAGAGAUUGAGGUCUGCAGCGUAGAUCCUUCGGGGCUAGAUACGUAGAUGCUAAGUUAUAGUUUUUUAUAGACAACUUGUUGACUAUAAUUAAUCAUGUAGCUUACUCGUUUGCGCUAUUUUACCUACGCUUAGGAUGUUGAAGAUGUAGCACAUCAU
rnacentral:rRNA from 1 species